rnacentral:rRNA from 1 species
CAGUCGCCGCGGGAAUACGUAGGGUGCGAGCGUUAAUCGGAAUUACUGGGCGUAAAGCGUGCGCAGGCGGUUUUGUAAGACAAGCGUGAAAUCCCCGGGCUCAACCUGGGAAUGGCGCUUGUGACUGCAAAGCUAGAGUGCGGCAGAGGGGGAUGGAAUUCCGCGUGUAGCAGUGAAAUGCGUAGAUAUGCGGAGGAACACCGAUGGCGAAGGCAAUCCCCCGGGCCUGCACUGACGCUCAUGCACGAAAGCGUGGGGAGCAAACAGGAUUAGAUACCCCCGUAGUCCCUGUCUCUUAUAC